rnacentral:rRNA from 1 species
AUGCAGCAGCAGGUCAUUGCGGCCUUCCAUGACACCCCGCUUGGUGGCCACUCUGGGUUUCCGGUCACAUGGCGUCAUGUGCGUCGACUGUUCGCUUGGCCUAAGAUGAAGACUCACAUACAGCACUAUGUCAAAUGCUGCCUGACCUGUCAACAGGCGAAGCCAGACCGUGCAGCCUACCCAGGGCUGCUCGAACCAUUACUAGUACCCAAGGAAUCCUGGGAAAUGAUCAGUAUGGAUUUUGUUGAUGGUCUACCACCUUCUGGAGGAGUGAAUUGCAUUAUGGUCAUUGUCGACAAACUAACUAAGUUUGCUCACUUUCUUCCAUUGGCACACCCAUAUACAGCUUCGAAGGUCGCCCUUCUCUACAUGAACCAAGUGUACAGGCUGCAUGGGUUCCCCGGCUCCAUCGUCUCCGAUCGAGAUCCGGUAUUUACCAGUCACUUCUGGCAGGAACUAUUCAAAUAUGCAGGCACUGGCCUCCGCAUGAGCUCUGCCAAUCACCCCCAGACUAACAGGCAAACCGAGCGGGUAAACCAGUGUCUAGAGACAUUCCUUUGGUGUUUCACUCAAGUAUGCCCGCGCCGUUGGAGCUUCUGGAUCCCUCUGGCUCAGUUCUGGUACAAUUCUUCGUAUCACUCUUCCUUUGGAAUGUCUCCGUUCCGAGCAAUGUAUGGUCAUGAACCUCGGCAGUGGGGAAUCACGGCAACAAGCGCCUGCUCAGUGACCGCUCUACGCUCUUGGUUGGAUGAGCGCAAUGGUACAGGACCUGCUGCAGCAGCACCUAAACCGAGCUCGCCAAGUUAUGAAACAGCAAGCUGA